AAAAAGGACAACAUGCAGGACUGAGGUAUCGGGGAGAAGGACCAGGGCAACACUGGGAAAUAGAUUUUACCGAGGUAAGGCCAGGUCAACGGUAUCGGGCCUUGGGUGCAUUGCAACCACGUACGCCCAGCUACUUCAGCAAAGCAGAAAGACGCUAAAAAAGAAUGGGAAGCAUCUCUGCACCCGUCCAACCCCCUGAGGCUGAAGCUCCGGUGUCGUCGACAGGACCAAGACAACUCGUCUGGACCAUCUUAUGGAUGACCAUGUUACUCUGCUCCAAAGCUGCCAGCGUGAACCCGUACCAACCCAUCAGAAUCACCUGGAACCUGCAAAAUGGACUAACACGUGAGAUGCUUAACUCCACCACCGCAAUACAUCCACCAAAUACUUGGUGGCCAGACAUAUACUUUGACCUUAAGCCGGUGGUGAAUGUACCCUGAAAGAGGGGCAAGCUCCGGAAUCAUGCAUUCUGGGCAUGUCCAGGUGUGCCCAGGCAUAAUUGGAAGAUCUGUGGGGGGGAUACAGGACUCUUAUUGUAAAUCUUGGGGCUGCGUAACUUCCAAUGAUGGGUCGGAGACUCCAGGGUAUAGACGGUGGGAUGUAGGAAGUCGGGAUUUGCUUAACUUCUCAUUUGUAGGACCCGUACCUCCGUACUCCAAUUGGGAAAAGGAUCAUAACUUUGCCCAGGUAAAAAUAAAGUUUAACAUUGACAAAGCAAAAAAAAAAAAAAAAAAAAAGGCUUGGUCAACGGGAUAUCAUGGGGGCUUCAGACCAGAACUGACGGGUUCCCAUACCGGGAGUAUUAUAAUGGGAUCAUUGUUAUGAGUCAAGUUUUAGAACCGGUACAAAUGUAUAGUAUUGGUCCAAACCCCUUUGAACAGGUCCAUGCAACUCUACCCAACAACCUCCCUACCUACAUCCCAGGGACCAACAAAAGACCCAGGGGCGGGCCCCUUGCUAUACUCGGACAAAGAGAUCCACUAUAGAAAUUAGUAAAGGCAGCUUAUGCUACCUUAAAUCAAACCCAUCCUGAG
ensembl:lncRNA